rnacentral:rRNA from 1 species
CCUACGGGAGGCAGCAGUGGGGAAUAUUGCACAAUGGGGGCAACCCUGAUGCAGCGACGCCGCGUGAGUGAAGAAGUCCUUCGGUAUGUAAAGCUCUAUCAGCAGGGAAGAAAAUAACUAUACCUGUGUACGACGCCCCGGCUAACUACGUCCCAGCAGCCGCGGUCAUACGUAGGGGGCAAGCGUUAUCCGGAUUUACUGGGUGUAACGGGAGCGUAGACGGCAGUGCAAGUCUGGAGUGAAAGGCGGGGGCUCAACCCCCGGACUGCUCUGGAUACUGGACGGCUGGAGUGCAGGAGAGGUAAGUGGAAUUCCUAGUGUAGCGGUGAAAUGCGUAGAUAUGAGGAGGAACACCAGUGGCGAAGGCGGCUUAUUGGAAUGGAACUGACGUUGAGGCGCGAAAGCGUGGGGAGCAAACAGGAUUAGAUACCCUUGUAGUC